rnacentral:rRNA from 1 species
GAUGAACGCUGGCGGCGUGCUUAAUACAUGCAAGUCGAACGGACAGGCGAUGAUCUUGCGGGGCGCUCGAGUGGCGAACGGGUGUGUAACACGCGUGUAAACCGUCCCUGUAUUUGUGAGAAAUCUUGGAAACAGGGGAUCUUAUCGCAUAGGAGCUUCUGCUGCACGGGGUGGGAUGGAAAGAUUCGGCGGUUGGGGAUGGAAUGGCGGGUUAUCGGCUAGUUGGUGGGGUAGUGGCGUACCAAGCCUUUGACGGGUAGCCGGCCUGAGAGGGUGACCGGCCACAAUGGGACUGAGAGACGGCCCAGACGCCUACGGGAGGCAGCAGUGGGGAAUAUUGCAGAGUGGGCGGAAGCCUGAUGCAGCAACGCCGCGUGCGGGAUGACGGCCUUCGGGUUGUAAACCGCUGUCGCCGGAGACGAAGCGUGAGUGACGGUAAUGGGUAAAGAAGCACCGGCUAACUACGUG